UGGGGGAUAUUGCACAAUGGGCGAAAGCCUGAUGCAGCGACGCCGCGUGGGGGAUGAAGGCCUUCGGGUUGUAAACUUCUUUUGCUCUGAACAAGGCGCACCAUGGGGUGUGUUGAGUGUAGGGGUUGAUUAGCGCCGGCUAACUACGUGCCAGCAGCCGCGGUAAUACGUAGGGCGCGAGCGUUAUCCGGAAUUAUUGGGCGUAAAGGGCUUGUAGGUGGCUGGUUGCGUCUGUCGUGAAAGCUCAUGGCUUAACUGUGGGUUUGCGGUGGGUACGGGCUGGCUUGAGUGCAGUAGGGGAGGCUGGAAUUCCUGGUGUAGCGGUGGAAUGCGCAGAUAUCAGGAGGAAUACCGGUGGCGAAGGCGGGUCUCUGGGCUGUUACUGACACUGAGGAGCGAAAGCAUGGGGAGCGAACAGG
rnacentral:rRNA from 1 species